CCGGCGGCGAGGUCGCUCAGAGCUGGUGGCAGCUGCUCUCGAGCGGCGCCCCGCGGUGGCAGAGGUUGUGCUCGUAGGGCUUGCAUCCGUGCCGCAUGACGCCGUGCAGCUUGGGGAGCGGGCCGCAGAGGCAGUUGUAGCUGAGGUCCAGCGUCUGCAGGGUGGACAGCGCCUCCAGCGACCUGGGCACGGUGCCCCUGAUGCGGUUGUGGCUGAGGUCCAGGUAGGUGAGCUCCUUGGGGAACUUGAGCUUGCUGAGGUCGAAGUCGAGGUUGUUGUAGGACAGGUCCACCUUGCCGAUGGGCCGCGCCUCGGAGAAGAGGAAGGAGGCGUCGCCGCUCAGCUGGUUGUGCGACAGAUCCACGGUGUUGAUCUCGUCCUGCGCGUCGUCGCGCGGGAUCGGGCCCGUCAGCUGGUUGUAGGAGAGCACCAGCGACAUGAACUGCCCCUGCACGAGGCUGGCCGGGAUGGGCCCGGUGAGCUGGUUCCGGCGGAGGUCCAGCGACCGGAGGCUCGGCAGGUCGGCGAAGGAGUUGGGGAUGGAUCCCGUCAGCUUGUUGUUGGAGAGGUCCACGGAGUCGAGGCUGUGGAGCCGCGCCAGGGACUCCGGGAUGGGGCCGGACACGUUGGUGUGGGAGAUGGUGAGGAACUCCAGCUUGGAGAGGGAGGUGAGGCAGGCCGGGAUGGAGCCCUGGAGCCCCGGGAGGCGGAACAGCGACAGCGACAUGAGCGCCGUCAGCCCGGCCAAAGCGGACGGGAUCUGGCC
rnacentral:lncRNA from 1 species